rnacentral:rRNA from 1 species
UGGGGAAUAUUGCACAAUGGGCGAAAGCCUGAUGCAGCAACGCCGCGUGAGUGAUGAAGGCCUUCGGGUUGUAAAGCUCUGUCUUCUGGGACGAUAAUGACGGUACCAGAGGAGGAAGCCACGGCUAACUACGUGCCAGCAGCCGCGGUAAUACGUAGGGGGCAAGCGUUGUCCGGAUUUACUGGGUGUAAAGGGUGCUCAGGCGGAUUUGUAAGUCAGAGGUGAAAUCUUACAGCUUAACUGUGAAACUGCCUUUGAUACUGCAAGCCUAGAGUAUGGAAGAGAGUGAUGGAAUAUCUGGUGUAGCAGUGAAAUGCGUAGAUAUCAGAUAGAACACCAAUGGCGAAGGCAGUCACUUGGUCCAUUACUGACGCUAAAGCACGAAAGCGUGGGUAGCAAGCA